rnacentral:rRNA from 1 species
UCUGUAAAGUUCCUUCGACGAGUCGAGUAGUUUGGGAAUGCUGCUCUAAAUGGGAGGUAUAUGUCUUCUAAAGCUAAAUACCGGCCAGAGACCGAUAGCGCACAAGUAGAGUGAUCGAAAGAUGAAAAGCACUUUGAAAAGAGAGUUAAAAAGUACGUGAAAUUGUUGAAAGGGAAGCGUUUAUGACCAGACUUGGGCUUGGUUAAUCAUCUGGGGUUCUCCCCAGUGCACUUUUCCAGUCCAGGCCAGCAUCAGUUUUUGCCGGGGGAUAAAGACUUCGGGAAUGUGGCUCUCUUCGGGGAGUGUUAUAGCCCGUUGUGUAAUACCCUGGCGGGGACUGAGGUUCGCGCAUCUGCAAGGAUGCUGGCGUAAUGGUCAUCAACGACCCGUCUUGAAACACGGACCAAGGAGUCGUCUUCGUAUGCGAGUGUUCGGGUGUCAAACCCCUACGCGUAAUGAAAGUGAACGCAGGUGAGAGCUUCGGCGCAUCAUCGACCGAUCCUGAUGUUCUCGGAUGGAUUUGAGUAAGAGCAUACGGGGCCGGACCCGAAAGAAGGUGAACUAUGCCUGUAUAGGGUGAAGCCAGAGGAAACUCUGGUGGAGGCUCGCAGCGGUUCUGACGUGCAAAU